rnacentral:rRNA from 1 species
GGCGAUCAGAUACCGCCCUAGUUCUGACCGUAAACGAUGCCAACUAGCGAUCCGCCAGUCGACUCAUCGCUCUGGUGGGGAGCUUCCCGGAAACGAAAGUCUUCCGGUUCCGGGGGAAGUAUGGUUGCAAAGCUGAAACUUAAAGGAAUUGACGGAAGGGCACCACCAGGAGUGGAGCCUGCGGCUUAAUUUGACUCAACACGGGGAAACUCACCCGGCCCGGACACCGUAAGGAUUGACAGAUUGAUAGCUUUUUCAUGAUUCGGUGGAUGGUGGUGCAUGACCGUUCUUAGUUCGUGGAGCGAUUUGUCUGGUUUAUUCCGAUAACGAGCGAGACUCUGGCCUACUAAAUAGUUGACGCAUUGCCACUGUGCGCACAACUUCUUAGAGGGAUUUUCGGUGUUUUCAACCGCACGAAAUUGAGCAAUAACAGGUCUGUGAUGCCCUUAGAUGUCCGGGGCUGCACGCGCGCUACACUGGCAAACGCAACGUGCCUGUCCUGCCCCGAAAGGAGCGGGUAAACCCCUGAAAUUUUGCCGUGAUUGGGAUCGGACAUUGCAACUAUUGUCCGUGAACGAGGAAUUCCUUGUAGGGGCGAGUCAUCAACUCGUCCCG